ensembl:lncRNA
UUCCAACCCGACUUUACAACAGAUGUCAUAACUUCCCAGAACACUUAUCUCAGAUGUCUAUGAAAAUAAAAUGACGCCUUUAUGGACUCUAAAGAUAACCAAUGCUUACGACAUGAAAAUAUGUACUAAAAUGAAAGACGUCGGUCUUGUUCAAAGGGACUGCCCCUUACAAGCACCUCAUUGUCAUUCUUCUCAUUUUGCAGCUGUGGCUGCACUUUUCCAGUAUGACGAAAGGGAAAUGAUGUAAUCUCUAUGCAGGGAAGAUGCUUUUGUGAGAGGCUUUUCAUCAACAUUUCGAAAGUGCUCUCUGUGUUUAAACACGGUGACUGGUUACUCCCCUAAGGUGUAUAAUUUAAAGCACACUGUUACAAACAGACUCAGAAUCCAACACAAAUGCUUGUUUGGCAUGUAUCCGUGAUACAGAGCAGUCAAUGGAUCUGUAGAUUGAGUCAGGCAGGAUACUAUUUGAACUGAACUGAGCUGGAUGAUGAGAUCACUGAAUCAAUAAAGAAAACUGGAAAAUUGAGUUUCCAGUUGCUUCAUUACCACACUACUGUAGCUAUUCCUGCACCAUGGUAAGUAGCAUGCAAACACUUCAACAGCAACAACUAGCACACUACCUAAAGUAUUUGAUCAAAAAUUUACUGACAUUAAAAAAUUGAAUAAAAAAGAAAUACAUUUCUUUUGAAUGAUUAACAAAAAUCUGUACUCAAGAUGCCUGAAGCAAACUGCCAAGUAACAAAAAAGUCACACAUAAAGAAUGUUUGAAAGAGUCACACACCAGCCAGAAACAUUCAUAGCUGCUGGCAGUUUAACUUUACAACUGCAGUUGUGUAAUACGUGC